UUAUAUUUUUAAUAAAGGAACCUUCGUAAAAUUUCGAUGUUACAGGAAUCGUCAAUUAAAAUGCAUUGUAUAAUACUUUAAUUUUCGCGCGGCUUAAGAAAAUAAGGACCAUAUUAUUUCAACCAAUUAGAAAGCUCCUAGGCGAAUCUGUAGUGUGCAUGGUAUUAUUCUGCUCUCGAAAAUUAUCGUGACAGGACGCAUCAGUUCGAUUUGUGUAACUUUGAUUAUGCAAUUAUUGUUCGAUUAUGUCGAAAUGACUUCGAAGGAAUGCAUACAUCAGAAGAAUUUACUACACAUAGCCAAUAAUUUUUCUAUUUUUCUGCAAACAUGAUUAUUAACCGAUUAUUGGAAUGAUAUACAAGGCGGGAAAAAUUUCAAUAUGGACGUCAUCAUACAGAAGUGGUAAAAUUCAAAAAUUUUUUAUAUUUCUAUUCUUUUUCUUUAUUGAAUUAUUAAUAAUACAUAUCAUUAUUAAAUAAUAUAUUAUUAA